GUUGUAUGGUUAAGUGACUAAGCGUACACGGUGGAUGCCUGGGCAGUCAGAGGCGAUGAAGGACGUACUAACUUGCGAUAAGCGCAGAUAAGGCAGUAAGAGCCGUUUGAGUCUGCGAUUUCCGAAUGGGGAAACCCAACUGCAUAAGCAGUUACUGUUAACUGAAUACAUAGGUUAACAGAGCAAACCGGGGGAACUGAAACAUCUAAGUACCCCGAGGAGAAGAAAUCAACCGAGAUUCCGGUAGUAGCGGCGAGCGAACCUGGAUUAGCCCUUAAGCACUCGGUGAAGUAGGUGAACAAGCUGGAAAGCUUGGCGAUACAGGGUGAUAGCCCCGUAACCGACGCUUCAUCGAGCGUGAAAUCGAGUAGGGCGGGACACGUGAUAUCCUGUCUGAAUAUGGGGGGACCAUCCUCCAAGGCUAAAUACUCCUGACUGACCGAUAGUGAACCAGUACCGUGAGGAAAGGCGAAAAGAACCCCUGUGAGGGGAGUGAAAUAGAACCUGAAACCGUGUACGUACAAGCAGUAGGAGCACCUUCGUGGUGUGACUGCGUACCUUUUGUAUAAUGGGUCAGCGACUUAUAUUCAGUGGCAAGGUUAACCGUAUAGGGGAGCCGUAGCGAAAGCGAGUCUUAACUGGGCGCUCAGUCUCUGGAUAUAGACCCGAAACCGGGUGAUCUAGCCAUGGGCAGGUUGAAGGUUGAGUAACAUCAACUGGAGGACCGAACCGACUAAUGUUGAAAAAUUAGCGGAUGACUUGUGGCUAGGGGUGAAAGGCCAAUCAAACUCGGAGAUAGCUGGUUCUCCCCGAAAGCUAUUUAGGUAGCGCCUCGGACGAAUACUACUGGGGGUAGAGCACUGUUAAGGCUAGGGGGUCAUCCCGACUUACCAACCCUUUGCAAACUCCGAAUACCAGUAAGUACUAUCCGGGAGACACACGGCGGGUGCUAACGUCCGUCGUGGAGAGGGAAACAACCCAGACCGCCAGCUAAGGUCCCAAAGUAUUGCUAAGUGGGAAACGAUGUGGGAAGGCUCAGACAGCUAGGAUGUUGGCUUAGAAGCAGCCAUCAUUUAAAGAAAGCGUAAUAGCUCACUAGUCGAGUCGGCCUGCGCGGAAGAUGUAACGGGGCUAAGCAAUACACCGAAGCUGCGGCAAUAUCUUUUAGAUAUUGGGUAGGGGAGCGUUCUGUAAGCCGUUGAAGGUGAAUCGUAAGGUUUGCUGGAGGUAUCAGAAGUGCGAAUGCUGACAUGAGUAACGACAAAGGGGGUGAAAAACCUCCUCGCCGGAAGACCAAGGGUUCCUGUCCAACGUUAAUCGGGGCAGGGUGAGUCGACCCCUAAGGUGAGGCCGAAAGGCGUAAUCGAUGGGAAACGGGUUAAUAUUCCCGUACUUCUGACUAUUGCGAUGGGGGGACGGAGAAGGCUAGGUGGGCCAGGCGACGGUUGUCCUGGUUCAAGUGCGUAGGCUUGAGAGUUAGGUAAAUCCGGCUCUCUCUAAGGCUGAGACACGACGUCGAGCUACUACGGUAGUGAAGUCAUUGAUGCCAUGCUUCCAGGAAAAGCCUCUAAGCUUCAGAUAGUCAGGAAUCGUACCCCAAACCGACACAGGUGGUCGGGUAGAGAAUACCAAGGCGCUUGAGAGAACUCGGGUGAAGGAACUAGGCAAAAUGGUACCGUAACUUCGGGAGAAGGUACGCUCUUGAUGGUGAAGUCCCUCGCGGAUGGAGCUGACGAGAGUCGCAGAUACCAGGUGGCUGCAACUGUUUAUUAAAAACACAGCACUGUGCAAAAUCGCAAGAUGACGUAUACGGUGUGACGCCUGCCCGGUGCCGGAAGGUUAAUUGAUGGGGUUAGCGCAAGCGAAGCUCUUGAUCGAAGCCCCGGUAAACGGCGGCCGUAACUAUAACGGUCCUAAGGUAGCGAAAUUCCUUGUCGGGUAAGUUCCGACCUGCACGAAUGGCGUAAUGAUGGCCACGCUGUCUCCACCCGAGACUCAGUGAAAUUGAAAUCGCUGUGAAGAUGCAGUGUACCCGCGGCUAGACGGAAAGACCCCGUGAACCUUUACUACAGCUUGGCACUGAACAUUGAACCUACAUGUGUAGGAUAGGUGGGAGGCUAUGAAGACGUGACGCCAGUUGCGUUGGAGCCGUCCUUGAAAUACCACCCUUGUAUGUUUGAUGUUCUAACUUAGACCCGUUAUCCGGGUUGAGGACAGUGCCUGGUGGGUAGUUUGACUGGGGCGGUCUCCUCCCAAAGAGUAACGGAGGAGCACGAAGGUGGGCUAAUCACGGUUGGACAUCGUGAGGUUAGUGCAAUGGCAUAAGCCCGCUUAACUGCGAGAAUGACGGUUCGAGCAGGUGCGAAAGCAGGUCAUAGUGAUCCGGUGGUUCUGUAUGGAAGGGCCAUCGCUCAACGGAUAAAAGGUACUCCGGGGAUAACAGGCUGAUACCGCCCAAGAGUUCAUAUCGACGGCGGUGUUUGGCACCUCGAUGUCGGCUCAUCACAUCCUGGGGCUGAAGUCGGUCCCAAGGGUAUGGCUGUUCGCCAUUUAAAGUGGUACGCGAGCUGGGUUUAGAACGUCGUGAGACAGUUCGGUCCCUAUCUGCCGUGGGCGUUGGAAGAUUGAAGGGGGCUGCUCCUAGUACGAGAGGACCGGAGUGGACGAACCUCUGGUGUUCGGGUUGUGUCGCCAGACGCAUUGCCCGGUAGCUAAGUUCGGAAUUGAUAAGCGCUGAAAGCAUCUAAGCGCGAAGCGAGCCCUGAGAUGAGUCUUCCCUGACAGUUUAACUGUCCUAAAGGGUUGUUCGAGACUAGAACGUUGAUAGGCAGGGUGUGUAAGCGUUGUGAGGCGUUGAGCUAACCUGUACUAAUUGCCCGUGAGGCUUAACCAUACAACACCCAAGGGGUUUUGUA
rnacentral:rRNA from 1 species